rnacentral:rRNA from 1 species
UUAUAGGUUUAAGGACACAAGGUAACCCUGCUUUUUCAGGGUAAGAAGGGGUAGAGAAAAUGCCUUGAGCCGAGGUCCAAGUACCAAGCACUGCAGCGCUGAAGUAUGAGCCCCGUGGACUAGCGAUUGCUUCUCCACGAGGCUCAUACUAGGCGCUAUGGCGCUGAAGUAUGUAACCGAUGCCAUACUCCAACGAAAAGCUCGAACGACCUUCAACAAAAAGGGUACAUGUAUGUGACGCCCCGAGACCGAUGUCCCAGGUGUCUUCCAGUUAUUCGCUGUUGUUGCCAUGUCUUUUGCUUGUGUGUUGCAUCUUAUCAU